GACGAACCGUGCGAACGUUGUUCGGAAUCACUGGGCUUAAAGGGCGCGUAGGCGGGCGACCAAGUCAGGGGUGAAAUCCCACGGCUCAACCGUGGAAGUGCCUUUGAUACUGGUGGUCUCGAGGGGAGGUAGGGGCGUGCGGAACUUCCGGUGGAGCGGUGAAAUGCGUAGAUAUCGUGGAGGAACACCGGUGGCGAAGGCGGCACCUCGCGGAACCAACU
rnacentral:rRNA from 1 species